UACAAACCAUCACAAUGGGAAACUUGUCAUGAAUAGGAUGACCGUCACCAUCUUCCAGGAGAGAGAUCCCACCACCAUCAUCAGCGAUGCUGCUGCUGAGUAUGUUGUAGAGUUUCCUAGUGUAUUCAUCGCCAUGAAGAAAGCUGGGCCAUACCUGAAGGGUGGAGCCAAACAAGUUAUCAUCUCUGGCUAUUCUGCGGAUGUCUCCAUGUUUUUGAUGGGUUUGAACCGUAAGCAGUAUAACAACUUGAUCAAGAUUGUCAGCAAUGCUUCUCUCAUUACCAACUGCCUAGUCCCCCAGCCAAGGUCAUCCAUGACAACUUCCGCCUAUGGAAGAACUCAUGACCACGGUCCAGGCCAUCACUGCUACUUAGAAGGCAGAAAUGUGACUAGGAGAAAUUUUAGACCUUCUGCCAAGAAAAGAAACUAGCACCAGAGACAAAUGACAGAGUUCAAAAGCACAUGGCCAACCAGAAUAGGAAGAUAAUGUCUUUAGACAGAAGAAUUGCAACAAAAACAAAAUACAAUUUCCAAUCAAUAAUGGGUUAAUGACCUGAGCAGACUUUUCUCAAAAGGAAAAAUAAAAAUGGCCAAAUAAAUGUUUCUGAAAGUGGUCAAUGUCCUUAGCCAUUAGAGUAAUGUAAAUGAAAACUGCCUUAAGAGGAUGGGGAGAUAACUCUGGCAUAAAGUGUUAGGUGUGCAAGCAUGAGCAACUGCAUUUGAAUCCCUGGCACCCACAUAAGGAACCGAAACACUGGCGCACACAUGUGAUCCCAGCAGAAAGCAGGUGGAGAUGGAACUGAAACAUGGUGCACACAUGUGAUCCCAGCAGAAGGCAGGUGGAGAUGGAACUGAAACACUGAUGCACACAUGUGAUCCCAGCAGAAGGCAGGUGGAGAUGGAACUGAAACACUGGCGCACACAUGUGAUCCCAGCAGAAGGCAGGUGGAGAUGGAACUGAAACACUGGAGCACACAUGUGAUCCCAGCAGAAGGCAGGUGGAGAUGGAACUGAAACACUGAUGCACACAUGUGAUCCCAGCAGAAGGCAGGUGGAGAUGGAACUGAAACACUGGAGCACACAUGUGAUCCCAGCAGAAGGCAGGUGGAGAUGGAACUGAAACAUUGGCGCAUACAUGUGAUCCCAGCAGAAGGCAGGUGGAGAUGGAACUGAAACACUGGAGCACACAUGUGAUCCCAGCAGAAGGCAGGUGGAGAUGUGAGGACACCCAGGGCUCGGUUUACAAGGGCCAUAAGUGAGCAUUGGAUUAGAACUGUCCACUGGAGACUGAUCAUGUUGGCAUGGACCUCAGAUUUCAGCACGACCUCAGGAGGUAUCACAGACCACAACCAUCAACUUGGUAUCCAAGUACCAUGGACAUCGAUAUUAACCUCUAGCAGCAAAGCCGAUCACAGAUAAAGACAUGGCCUCUGGUGACAGCAUAGAUCAUGGAGGCCUUUUGAGGAGGACCAAUUUAGAAAAUGAACCGUUUUCUAUCUCGGACAUCCUGUCAUUGCUCAGAGCCAGGGCAAUUGUGGGGAUGGACAGUGAGUUUUGGGGCAGAACCUGCCCAAGCUCCAGGCUGCUGCAUACCACCUUGCCAAGUGCUCUAUUCAAGAUGGUAGUGCCCACAGGCACCCACAGGAUAGCAGGGCAGCUCUGAGAAGCCUCAAAGAGACCCACAGAGGCUCCAAGGUGAGAUGCAGUGGGCAGAGGAUAUGAGUGCUUAGCUUGAAGUAUCUUCAGAAAAAAAUAAA
rnacentral:sRNA from 1 species